AUAUCUUUCUCGAUCUUUUGGCUAAGAUCAAAUGUAAUAUCUCUUCUUAUAAGUUUAAUAUCUGAUAUAAAAAAAUUAAAUUAAUGAGUCUAGUGUAGGGGGUGUAAACGAACCGAAUUGAGCCAAAUAUGUAGAAAAUUUUAAGACUCGAAUUCGGCUCGAAAUAGGUAUAUUCGAGUUCGAGUUCGAGCUCG